AGCUCAGUUGGUAGAGCAUGGUGUGUGCAACACCAGGGUUGUGGGUUCGAUUCCCAC
rfam:Salmo salar isolate Sally breed double haploid chromosome ssa15, whole genome shotgun sequence.